rfam:Xenopus tropicalis strain Nigerian scaffold_145_contig_13, whole genome shotgun sequence.
GUUUCUGUAGUGUAGUGGUUAUCACGUUCACCUAACACGCGAAAAGUCCCCGGUUCGAAACCGGCCAGAAACA